rnacentral:lncRNA from 1 species
GGGGAGGGGUAAACUAUUGAAUUUGUUUCAUUUAAACAGGAGGAAAAAAAUAAAAAUAAUAGAUAAGAAUACUCUUCUAGCUCCACAGUAUCCAAAUAAUAGAAAAACAUUCAUAAAGAUAGACUAGAAUGAGAUUUACAGAUCAUUUAGUAGACAUGACUGAUUUCCAAAUUUUGCCUGUUUUCAGAAAGGGGUACUGCUUUAAUAGUGGGGUUAUUUUUAUUAUUACAGCCAAACAGUUCUUAUAAUGGCAUUUUUUAUGUUCAAAUAUGGCUCCUUAAUGAAACUAAGUAAAUGAAUUAUUUUUUUAAGACAUGUCAUUAUUGUUAUAGGUACCAGUCUUGUAUUACAACUCCAGUUUCCGGUGCAUGUCAAAACAUAGAGGGAAACAAAAUAGUGCAUUUUUUUCUGAAUUUUUUUCUGAACUGAAUUUUUUCUGUUUGAUUAAAGGUUUAUGCUGAAUUGAAACAUAUAUAUAUAGACUUUAAAAAAAACCUUGCAUCUUUUGGGGAUAUCAAUCCAGGAAAGUGGAAGUAUAUCAUGUUUACUGGAAGUGGUGCGGCCUAGUAAAAUAGCAAACAGAAAGUAGAAAAAAAAUGUUUUGACUUCAGGAUUGCGUAACUUUUUAUUCUUCGUGGCAAGACCCCCUUUUUUUUCGAUUAAAUCACAAUUUCACAUUAGUACAUACAUGAUAUGAACAUGAAAUUUUUUUCUAUGUAGCAUUUUUUAUUUUUUUAUUUUCAAAGAUCAGCUGUUUUGCAUGUAAGCCUAUGGAGCAGUCAAUUACAAGACUGCAACCUACAG